rnacentral:rRNA from 1 species
AUGAGUACAGUGGCGCACGGGUGAGUAACACGUAGGUAAUCUGCCCUCGGGUUCGGGACAACAUUCCGAAAGGAGUGCUAAUACCGGGUAAGACCACGCCCCCUGCGGGGGGUGAGGUAAAAGGUGGCCUCUCCAUGGAAGCUAUCGCCUGAGGAUGAGCCUGCGGCCUAUCAUGGUAGUUGGUAGGGUAACGGCCUACCAAGCCUAAGACGGGUAGCUGGUCUGAGAGGAUGGUCAGCCACACUGGAACUGAGACACGGUCCAGACUCCUACGGGAGGCAGCAGUGGGGAAUAUUGCGCAAUGGGCGAAAGCCUGACGCAGCGACGCCGCGUGAGUGAUGAAGGCCUUCGGGUCGUAAAGCUCUGUAGGAUGGGGACGAACACUCCCGGGGAAUAAUACCUCCGGGACUUGACGGUACCUGUCCAGAAAGCACCGGCUAACUCCGUGCCAGCAGCCGCGGUAAUACGGAGGGUGCGAGCGUUGUUCGGAAUCAUUGGGCGUAAAGCGCGUGUAGGCGGGUUGGUGUGUCCGUUGUGAAAUCCCUCGGCUUAACCGAGGAACUGCAGCGGAAACUGCCAGUCUUGAGUACGGGAGAGGGAAGGGGAAUUUCCAGUGGAGUGGUGAAAUACGUUGAUAUUGGAGGGAACACCGGUGGCGAAGGCGCCUUCCUGGACCGUCACUGACGCUGAGACGCGAAAGCGUGGGGAGCAAACAGGAUUAGAUACCCUGGUAGUCCACGCCGUAAACGAUGAGGACUAGGUGUUGCGGGUAUUGACCCCUGCAGUGCCGAAGCUAACGCAUUAAGUCCUCCGCCUGGGGGAGUACGGCCGCAAGGCUAAAACUCAAAAGGAAUUGACGGGGGGCCCGCACAA